rnacentral:rRNA from 1 species
UACGUAGGGUGCAAGCGUUGUCCGGAAUUAUUGGGCGUAAAGAGCUCGUAGGCGGUCUGUCGCGUCGGCUGUGAAAACCUGGGGCUUAACUCCGGGCUGCAGCCGAUACGGGCAGACUAGAGUUCGGCAGGGGAGACUGGAAUUCCUGGUGUAGCGGUGAAAUGCGCAGAUAUCAGGAGGAACACCGGUGGCGAAGGCGGGUCUCUGGGCCGAUACUGACGCUGAGGAGCGAAAGCGUGGGGAGCAAACAGG